UCCUUUUUGGUUCAUAAGUGCAAUGAUUGAGUGUUCACGUAGUUGUGUGAGAUGUGCCCGUCACUAAACCUUGUUGCAACAUUG
rnacentral:snoRNA from 1 species